rnacentral:rRNA from 1 species
GAUCCUGGCUCAGGAUGAACGCUAGCUACAGGCUUAACACAUGCAAGUCGAGGGGAAACGACAUCGAAAGCUUGCUUUUGAUGGGCGUCGACCGGCGCACGGGUGAGUAACGCGUAUCCAACCUGCCCACCACUUGGGGAUAACCUUGCGAAAGUAAGACUAAUACCCAAUGACAUCCCACGAAGACAUCUGAAUGGGAUUAAAGAUUUAUCGGUGAUGGAUGGGGAUGCGUCUGUAUUA